rnacentral:rRNA from 1 species
AUAAGCGGAGGAAAAGAAACCAAACAGGGAUUGCCCUAGUAACGGCGAGUGAAGCGGCAUCAGCUCAAAUUUGAAAUCUGGCUCUUUCAGAGUCCGAGUUGUAAUUUGCAGAGGGCGCUUUGGCGUUGGCAGCGGUCCAAGUUCCUUGGAACAGGACGUCACAGAGGGUGAGAAUCCCGUACGUGGUCGCUGGCCUUCACCGUGUAAAGCCCCUUCGACGAGUCGAGUUGUUUGGGAAUGCAGCUCUAAAUGGGAGGUAAAUUUCUUCUAAAGCUAAAUACUGGCCAGAGACCGAUAGCGCACAAGUAGAGUGAUCGAAAGAUGAAAAGCACUUUGGAAAGAGAGUCAAAUAGCACGUGAAAUUGUUGAAAGGGAAGCGCUUGCAGCCAGACUUGCCUGUAGUUGCUCAUCCGGGCUUUUGCCCGGUGCACUCUUCUGUAGGCAGGCCAGCAUCAGUUUGGGCGGUUGGAUAAAGGCCUCUGUCAUGUACCUCCUUUCGGGGAGGCCUUAUAGGGGAGGCGACAUGCAACCAGCCUGGACUGAGGUCCGCGCAUCUGCUAGGAUGCUGGCGUAAUGGCUGUAAGCGGCCCGUCUUGAAACACGGACCAAGGAGUCUAACAUCUAUGCGAGUGUUUGGGUGUCAAGCCCGAGCGCGCAAUGAAAGUGAACGGAGGUGGGAUCCCUUAAGGGUGCACCAUCGACCGAUCCUGAUGUCUUCGGAUGGAUUUGAGUAAGAGCAUGGCUGUUGGGACCCGAAAGAUGGUGAACUAUGCUUGAAUAGGGUGAAGCCAGAGGAAACUCUGGUGGAGGCUCGCAGCGGUUCUGACGUGCAAAUCGAUCGUCAAAUUUGGGCAUAGGGGGCGAAAGACUAAUCGAACUAUCUAGUAGC